GGGGUUGUGGCUCAGUGGUAGAGCGCUUGCCUAGCACGUAUGAGGAGUUGUGUUCAAUCCUCAACACCA
rnacentral:tRNA from 1 species